GAUGAACGCUGGCGGCGUGCCUAAUACAUGCAAGUCGAGCGAACGGACGCGAAGCUUGCUUUUCUGAUGUUAGCGGCGGAUGGGUGAGUAACACGUGGAUAACCUACCUAUAAGACUGGGGUAAAUUCGGGAAACCGGAGCUACUACCGGAUAAUAUUUUGACCCGGAUGGUUCUGAAGUGAAUGACGGUCUUGCUGUCUCUUAUAGAUGUAUCCGCGCUGUAUUAGCUAGUUGGUAAGCUAACGGCUUUCCAAGGCAACGAUGGAUAGCCGACCUGAGAGGCUGGUCGGCCACACGGGAGCUGAAACACCGUCCAGAGGCCUACGGUAGGGAGCAGUAUGCAAUCGUCCGCAAUGGUCGAAAGCCUUACGGAGCAACGCCACGUGAGUGAUGAAGGUCUUCGGAUCGUAAAACUCUGUUAUUAGGGAAGAACAUAUGUGUAAGUAACUGUGCAGAUCUUGACGGUACCUAAUCAGAAAGCCACGGCUAACUACGUG
rnacentral:rRNA from 1 species